GUGGGGAAUUUUGGACAAUGGGCGCAAGCCUGAUCCAGCAAUGCCGCGUGUGUGAAGAAGGCCUUCGGGUUGUAAAGCACUUUUGUCCGGAAAGAAAUCUCCUGGGUUAAUACCUCGGGGGGGUGACGGUACCGGAAGAAUAAGCACCGGCUAACUACGUGCCAGCAGCCGCGGUAAUACGUAGGGUGCGAGCGUUAAUCGGAAUUACUGGGCGUAAAGCGUGCGCAGGCGGCUCUGCAAGACAGAUGUGAAAGCCCCGGGCUCAACCUGGGAACUGCAUUUGGGACUGCAAGGCUAGAGUGCGUCAGAGGGAGGUGGAAUUCCACGUGUAGCAGUGAAAUGCGUAGAGAUGUGGAGGAAUACCGAUGGCGAAGGCAGCCCCCUGGGAUAACACUGACGCUCAUGCACGAAAGCGUGGGGAGCAAACAGGAUUAGAUACCCUAGUAGUCC
rnacentral:rRNA from 1 species